AUGUGCCUUUUCUCUCCUGGUUCUCUGCCCGGCCCACCCACAGCAUGCCUGCAGAGAGGCUUCCCUGGCUUGGAAGUGCAGGAAAGCUUGAGCCAGGCCUGUGCGGAUCCCUGGCUCCUGUCUCUGCAGGCUGCCACUGUCUCUAGUGCCCAGAUCCACAUGGCCCAGGAUAAUCAAGAGCAAGUCAUAACAAGUAACAGAUAUGCAUCUCCUUUGGUAACCCCUGGAGAGGUGGGAGUGAGGGACCCAGAGUUGGCCAGUGAACUUGAGAAGUCCUCUGAGCUCCUGUGGGAACAAUCAUCCUCCUAUGAAGAGAUACACAGAGAAGAGUCCUCUUGCUAUGAAUAACAUUCUGUCCUCCAGAUAAUAUAUUGAACUCCUCACCAAGAGCCCUGAAAUCCCACUUUAAUUGGAAACAGUGCAUUAGAGAUGAAUUAAGGCAAGGUGGCUGCAGAGGAGUAGGUGACCCAUGACCCAAUCUGCCUGGUAUCUAAGAAAAGAGGAGGGAAACCAGAGACAGGUGAGCACCUGGAGAAAUCCAAAGCAGUCCUAUGAUGCCAGAGGUCAAGACCAGAGUGGUAAGCCCACAAGCCAAGAGCACUGAGGACCUCAGGUGAGCACCAGAAACUCCAAGGGACAGGUAGGACUCCCUCUGCAGGCUUUGGAAGGAAAACAGCCUCCUAACAUCUGGGUUCCUGAUAGCGAGCCCCAGGAUGGUGAGACGCUGUGCUUCUGUUGCUUUAAGCCACUGAUUCUAUGGUGCAUUGUUACAAAAGCCCUAGGAAAUGGAUACACCCCUAGCUGUUGGGUCUUGAGAGGCUUCCAGACUGGAAAAGUCCCCUUCAAAGCCUCAUGGGGUCGGGGGGGGGGUGCUUUGGGAGGUGGAUGAAUGUUGAAUGUGUGACACUGGGAUCAAGGGUGGGUGGUUACAAAAUUAGUCCAAAGAUUGUUUUGGCAUGGUUCUGGGUAGGAUUAAGAUGGGAGUGCUACUCUCCCUGCCCAGGGUAGGUAGGCUGGAUAGAAUAUAAGGAACAGAAAGACGCUUGCAUCUUGUCACUCUUUACUGCAUGCUGCACCUUCACUACUUCACUGCUUUGCUGCCUACUGCCUGCCAUGGACUGUUUCUCCUCUUUGAUGCCCCUCUGCCAAGCCACCCUGUCUUGGAGCCAGCUGACCAUGGAGCAAAACCUCUACAAACUGUGAGCCAAUUAAACCUUUCUUCUUAACUUUGCAUGUUCCGUAUUUUGUCUCAGCAAUGAGAAAAACAUCUAAGACACAGGCCAAUGUGAUGCUGUGCUCUAUCCAGCUGACUCGGGUUCCUAAUGCUGGCUGGGAGAUCAUGCUCAGUGGUUUUGUCAGGUCUAGUGAGUAAAACUUCACACCAUCCAGAGGGCUAAUUCACCUAAAACUCUGCAAAGACAAUUAAGUAGCUUUGGAAGACUUCUAUACUCCCACUCUUUAUGAGAUCUCUACAUGACUGCUCAACACACUGGUGGAUGAAGAGUCAAUUUUGAUAUUACCACCUAAAAUAAUCCCCAUUGCUACCUGCAGCCUAAACUUAACCCUAAUCCGAAACCUAACUAUAACAGGAAACGUAACUCUCACAUUAACCCUAACCCUAGUCCUAACCUUAACAUGGACCCUAACCCUAACUCUCACCCAACCCUAACCUGAAUCCCAACUUUAACCUUCACCUGAACUUUAGAAGCCACAUUCUCUACUGAACCCUCGAAUAAAACACAGCUGUUAGUGAGUAGCAUCUCUGCAGAUGCCUUCCUUCUCCUCUUCCUCCCCACCCUCUGUGAAUGCCCAGUGCUCUGCUUGCUCUGCUGACCUCAGAGGAGCUGGGGCAUAGGGCCAGCUUACCUGUCCAACUUCAGCAUCCACAUGUGUCUUCUUGGCUUCCUGCUUUCUGUUUGGGGACAGUAUCCUGAAGUGGCUGAGUUGCCCAAGGGUCAGCAUAAGCCCUUCUUUAUUUUACUGUUUUAAACCGUUUUUUUUUUUUAUUUUAAAGAGAAAAAAAAAGCAACAACAAAAUAACAACAAUAAAGACAAAAGCAAAACAAUAUAAAAAUGGUACAGGAUUUCAAAACAG
ensembl:lincRNA